rnacentral:lncRNA from 1 species
UCACAUCACAAAUCACUAUCAAAAGUCAUAAAGCUGGCAUAUCUUUGAUACCAAUAAAUUGUAAUGCCCCAAACCUAACUGGUUAAUGUUACGAGAUUGCAUAUUUACAGAAAUAUGUUUCAAAUGAUAAAUAAAUUCUUCAAAGUACGAUUACACAUGUUCUCUUAUCUCUCUCUUCUUGAACUCUGCUGCCUUAGCCCUUCUUGGAGCUCCACUAACUUGAUUGCCGGAAUUACGCUGCAAUAAUUGUGUAUUUUUUUACUCUUACUUCUACCUCCACCUUCUAUAGUUUCUAAUAUAUUAAAAUUCUGAUGGAAAAAAUGGAACAAAACUAUGAUACACGUCGAGAAUUUUAUUAAACCUAAAAACUUUACUUUCUGGCAGUCUAACAGAUGCUAAAUUAUUUUCUUCUAAUGCUCAUGAAAUCCACACAUUGGAAAACUAUGGCAUCUUUACUUGGCAGGACAGUAUCCUUUGUAAAUAUUUAAUAAUCUGGGAAACGCAAGACAUCCAGAAAUUUGUGAGAAAUCUUAAAACAGUUUAGACAAGAAUAGCUGGCAUAACAGUGUCUAUCCACAAUUUUUCUGUUCAUACAGUCAUGAUAUUCAUUCUCAAUGACUAUAAUGAAACAUGAACUUAUGUGAAAGAAGCACGCAAGCUACUGAGGGAGCCUGUUGGUAAUGCUAGGUACAUGGAGUUGCAACAUGUCACAUGGGAUGAACUGGGCAAAUUACUUCUUGUAAUUGAUCUCUGUAACUCAAAUCAAUAGGUAGUUUUUCCUUUUUCCUGAAAAGUAUAAAGUUCAACUGUUAACUCUUUUUAAUAGAAUAGCGACAUAACUAAGCUCGCUAAAAAAGGAGAUAGCAACAACCCCAGUAUCAAGUAUUACUAUUGUACAAGAGAAUUCAACAUCACAAGGGAGUUUUAUAGAAAUUAUUGGCAAUGGCAACGCAGUAUGAAGAUGAAGUUCGUUAUCCAUUAGGGUAGUAAUUAAAGAACAACUAUCAGUAUGUCUGUUAGUCGAAAACCGAAGAGCUUUGAAGUAGGCUCUGCAGAACAAACUUAGAGAGAGAGUUGAGGAGAGAGAGAGGGCAGCAAAACAGAGCAAAAACCUGCAACUGCCUCUGUUUUGCUGUUUUCUAAGAGGAGUUUCACUUUCUGUUUUUUGAGAGAAGAAGAUAAUUGAUCUUUUUAUUUCAGCAUAUAUAUAGAGAUAUCGAUUACAAGUGAUCAAGUCAAAUCAUCCGAAAACCAUGCAUACACGUCUCGUGAAGUUUACGUAUCCUACUGUGAUACAUCUUCUCGAUACAUUUCCUUCCUUUUGAAUUUAAACUGAACAGAUAAAAAAAGUCAUUAAUUUUAACACUCCCUCUUAAUGACUUUUUCCACCAACCCCUAUUUUUUCUCGUAAAUCCUCAAAUUUAGCUUUAGACAGGGCCUUGGUUAGAAUGUCACCAAGUUGAUCAUCAGUGGAGCAAUGUAUCAGCUUGAUUUCUUGAUUCCUCUCAGCCUUACGUAUAGCAUGAUACUUAACGUUGAUGUGUUUAGUUCUCCCGUGCAUUACAGGAUUUUUCGCAAUGGCAAUUGCAGACUUGUUGUCAACAUACAACACUGUAGGUGAUUGUCCUUCCAGCUUUAGAUCGUUGAACACCUUCCUCAACCAAAUUGCUUGGUUAGUUGCUGUAGCUGCGGCUACAUACUCAACCUCAGCUGUGGAUUGAGCCACAGUAUCCUGUUUCUUAGAUGCCCCAUGAAAAAACACUGGAGCCUAUUUUGAACAAGUACCCAGUUGUGCUACGUGCAUCUUCUACGCUUCCUGCCCAAUCACUGUCACUGUAGCCGACUAAUCCACAUUCUGCUCUUGCUUUGAAUUGAACACCAAAAUUCCAGGUUCCUUUCAAGUACCUCAGCACAUGUUUGGCAGCUUGUAAGUGUGAUUCCCUCGGUGAAGCCAUGAACCUUGAAAGUAAACUUACUGCAAACGAAAUAUCUGGUCUGGUAGCUGUGAGAUACAGAAGGCUCCCAAUUAGACUUCUGUAAUUCCCUUCUUCAACUUGGCUACCUUUCUCAUCCUUUGACAAUUUCAUGUUGGACACCAGUGGUGUAGAUACUGAUUUACAAUGAUUCAUAUUGAAUUUAUUUAGAAUUUCUUUGGCAUACUUGCCUUGUGAAAGAAAAAUACCCAAGUUGCUUUGAUGAAUCUCCAUUCCCAGGAAGUAGGUAGUUUCUCCAAGAUCAGACAUCUCAAAUUCCUUCUCCAAUUUCAGCUUGAACUCUUUCAUUCUCCUUUUGUUGCUGCCUGUCACCAGUAUAUCAUCAACAUAUACUGCAGUGAUAAGUCGGUCUUCUUCUCUAUUCACAUACAGUGUGUUUUCUGUCAUACUUCUCUCAAACCCACAGUGAAGUAAGUAUGAAUUUAACUUAUCAUACCAGGCUCGAGGAGCCUGUUUGAGGCCAUAUAGGGCUUUGUGAAGAAGAUAGAUAUGACUCUCCUUUCCAAGUUGAAUGAAUCCCGGUGGCUGCUCAACAUAAAUUUCUUCAUUUAGCUUGCCAUUUAAAAAGGCCGAUUUCACAUCCAGGUGCAUCACACUCCAACCAAACUGAGCUGUCAUGGCCAGAAUGAGUCUAAUUGUUUCAUAUCUGGCCACAGGAGCAAAAGUUUCUGUGUAGUCAAUUCCUGGAAGCUGGGAGUAUCCCUUUGCCACAAGCCGUGCCUUGUGCUUGUUUGUUGUCCCGUCCGGAUUGAGUUUCACUUUGAACACCCACUUUACUCCAAUUGGUUUUUUAUUUGUACUUAAUUUUACCAGAGACCAAGUAUUGUUUUUGUCAAUCAUUCUGAUUUCCUCUUCCAUAGCAAGUCUCCACUCUUGUUGCUGAAGUGCUUCCUCAACAGAGGAAGGUUCUUUUGAGGCAAAACUGCAUCUUUCAUAGAUGUCAGCCAGACUUUUCAAUUUUAUUCUCUCUUCUGCUUCAGAUUCUUCAUCUUCUUUAUCUUCUUCAUCAUCGUCAUCAUUUUCACCAUCUUCAUCAUCUUUAUCUUUCUGAGUUGAGAUUGAUAUUGUCACUGAUUUCUUUCCUUCUUCAAUUGUGACACAGUCUUGUUCGACUUUCUGCUUCUCUCAAUUCCAGUAGCUGUUUUCAUCCACCGUUACAUUUCUUUGAAUCAUAAGCUUGUUGGUUCUCAGGUUAAGAAUUCUGUAUGCUUUUGCUUCAAUACUGUAUCCCAAAAAUAUUCCCAACUCAGCCUUCAUAUCUAGCUUGGAUCUCUUUGUCAUCCGAGACAUGGCAGUAGCACACUGAUCCAAACACCUUUAGAUACUUAGUUGAUGGUUUGAUGCCACUCCAAGCCUCCACCGGUGUCAUCUGUUUUACAGCCUUUGUAGGCAGCAUGUUAAGCAGGAACACAGCAGUGUUCACUGCCUCAGCCCACAAGGCUUUAGGCAGGUGUUUGUCAGCAAGCAUGCUUCUUGCCAUUUCCAUAAUGGUUCUGUUCUUCCUCUCAGAGACACCAUUUUGCUGAGGAGAAUAUGGUGCCGUGAGCUGCCUUUUGAUCCCAUUCUCAGAAUAGAAAUCAUUGAAUUUGCUGGAAUUGAAUUCAAGCCCAUUAUCUGUCCUUAGACACCUCAAUACGCUGCUACUUUCUUUCUCUGCUAUAACUUUGAACCUCUUGAAUUCACCAAAAAUUUGAGCUUUAUUCUGCAGGAAACAAACCCAAAUCAUCUUGGAAAAAUCAUCUAUGAACAAGCCAAAAUACUUGCAACCACUCAUAGAGUUUUCUGUCAUUGGACCAAAAAUGUCAGAAUUGAUAAGUGUCAGCUUCUCUUUCGCUCUCCAAUCUGCUUGCAGAGGAAAUGAAUUUCUUGCCAAUUUCCCCAUCUGACAUGCUCCACAUACUAUCUCAGUGACAGCAAAAUUUGGGAAGUCCUUGGUUAGACUUUCCUUCUGCAGUUGUUGUAGCCCAGCCGCAUGAAAAUGCCCAAGGCGCUUGUGCCAAAUCUCGCCUUCAGUUACAGAGGCAACACUGGCUCUUUCAACUACUUCUCUGAGUUUCAAGGAGUAGACUUGAUUCUUCUUUUAGAUGAAGGCAAUCAAGCGAUCCUCAGGAUCAUAUAUCCUGCGGCAGUUAUCCUUGAAUCCAACCGAGUAGCCUUGAUCAGUCAUCUGAUUAACACUGAGUAGAUUCUGUGAGAGGGUAGGAACAAAAUUUACAUCAGUGAUAAAUUUUUUACCUUCCUUGGUUUCAAUGGCAAUGUUGCCUUUGCCCUUGAUGGUUUCCAGCAUGCCAUUUUCAAGUCUUACUUGGCCUGUUGCUGAUUUGUCAAGUGACACAAACAUGGCUUCAUUCUUGCACAUGUGAGAAGUGCAACCACUAUCAACAACCCAGAGGCUGUCGUCUUCCACUGUCAAUUCACUUGAAGUAACAAGAAUUGUAUUACUUUGCUCACUGGAUAUCUCAGUGAUAUUUAUAUGUUGCAACUCCUGCUUAGAUUGUGCCGCUUCCAGCUUUUGUUUUUGCCGACAGAACUUCUCCUUAUGGCCCAGUCUUUUGCAGAAGUUGCAUUGGAUAGCUUUCUUUCCCUUAUACCAGCAUUCAUUCUCAAAUGAUUUGUGAGGGAGCAAAUGCUGCAAGGAGGAUACUUCUUCUGUUUUAUGAAACUUUGGUUUCCAGUUUGAUUUCCUCCAUUCCUUCUCCCUUGAUACUGAUUUGAAGGGGUAGCUUUGAUUUGAGAUGAGAAUAAGGCUCCUUCAAUAGGUACACGAGCAUGCAUGUUGACACGUUGCUCCUGUGUUUGUAGCUUAUUGAUUAGUUCAGCUGAAGAAAUCUUAUCAAUAUCUGCAAGUUCCUCCAAAGUUGAGAUUUUAGACUCAAAUUUUGGUGGUAAGCUUAUAAGAAUUUGUUCUACCACCCUUGAUUCAGGAAAGUCCUCCCCCAACAAUCUCAUUUUAUUGACAAUAUCCGAGAGUUUGGAGGCAUAGUCCCUAACAGACUCAUUUUCCUGCAUUCUGAGUAAUGCAAAUUCACUUUUUAACCUCAGUAGCUUGAUCUUCUUGCUUCUGUCUCCUCCAUCAAACUCCUCCUUCAGUUUCUCCCACGCUUCCUUAGGUGAUUCAUAGUUCAUAAUCCUAGAGAAAACCCUGUCCGAAACCGCUGAGAAGAGAUAGGCAAGUGCUUUUGGUUUCUUGGUCUUCUCUUCCUCAUGUCUUUUAAUCUGGUUCAAUGUAGCAGUUUCUUGUAGUGGGGUUGGUUCACUAUCGUCUAUAAUAACGUCCCAUAAACCCAGAGCUUUGAGGUGAGCUCUCAUCUUUAUUGCCCACACAUGGUAAUUUUCUCCGUUGAACUGCGAAGCAGGGGUAGUUCCUGAGGUUGCCAUCGGGUUUGAGAAAUUUUUUUUGAUUCACCUGAUACGGGGGAAAACCAGGCUCUGAUACCAGUUGUUAGUCGAAAACCGAAGAGCUUUGAAGUAGGCUCUGCAUAACAAACUUAGAGAGAGAGUUGAGGAGAGAGAGAGGGCAGCAAAACAGAGCAAAAACCUGCAACUGCCUCUGUUUUGCUGUUUUCUAAGAGGAGUUUCACUUUCUGUUUUUUG